rnacentral:rRNA from 1 species
CUUGUCAAAAGACAAGUCAUGGUAGGUUGGCGUAGUGAUUGGGUCGAAGCAGGGCAGUGAUGUCCUGUGGACCGAUUUCUAUUGCAGAUCCUGGUGGCAGUAACAGCAUAGUAGAGUGAGAAACUCUACCACCGCAAGCGCAAGGGUUUCCAGGCAAUGCGUUAUCAGCCUGGAGUUAGUCGAUCCUAAGAAUUGCCUCAACAGAGUAAUUCGAAUGGGAAACUGGUUAAUAUUCCAGUACCUUGCUUACACGUUAUUAUCUAUAUGAAUUGCUUCUAGAUAGGGGAUGUAGAACUAUCGUUUUAUCUAACUGUUUGAGAUUUGGGGAGUGUCGUAAUGACGAGAACUGAAUCGAGGCAGGAAUGGCUCUGCGUUAGCAGAGUUUUCUCAACUCCAGGAGACCAUGAAAGAUCAUAUAGAGAGUGUUAGCAAGUUCGUACCGAGAACCGACACAGGUGCGCUGGCUUAGAAAGCUAAGGUGCUACGGGUAUACCGUAUGGCGAGGGAAUUCGGCAAAUUAGUCCUGUAGCUUAGGUAUAAGGGAUACCUGCUGUUUUAAUGAGGAAUUGGGAUAGCAGGUUGCAAUGACUAGGGGGUUCCGACUGUUUAAUAAAAACACAGGCGACUGCUAGUCCGAAAGGAUUUGUAUAGUCGCUGAAUCCUGGCCGGUGCAGGUACCUAAAACUUGGGUUCAACCGAGCUAAGGGCCUGUUAACGCCGGGAGUAACUCUGACUCUCUUAAGGUAGCCAAAUGCCUUGUCGGGUAAGUUCCGACGCGCAUGAAUGGAACAACGAGAGCCCCACUGUCCCCGCCUACAACCCGGUGAAGCCACAUAAGGUGGACGAACAGUCCAUCAUCUUCCAUCGGGGAGAGAAGACCCCGUGGAGUUUUACUGCAGCUUGUGCUUGUAGUAUAGUACGAAUUACAUAGUGUAUCUGGUAGCCAUGCCUGAAUUUCUUUGGGAAUUCAGUGAAGCAACGAUGUAACACCAGAUUAUUCUUGCAGUACUUCUUAUCUGAUGCAAAUCAGAAACAGGUGCAGGUAGGCAGUUCGGCUGGGGCGGCACCCCUUUGAAAAGAUAUCAAAGGGGCCCAAAGUUUAGUUCAAACGGGUCAGAAAUCCGUUGAAGAGGGCAAAGCCAAAAACUCGACUGAAUGGAUUUCCAAACGCACGGAAUUCAUAGACGAAAGUCUGGCUUAGCGAUCCUUCGUGUGCCCACUAUUGGGGCCCGGAGGUGACAGAAAAAUUACCCCAGGGAUAACAGGCUCGUCGCGGGCGAGAGCUCCUAUCGACCCCGCGGUUUGGUACCUCGAUGUCGGCUUUUCCUAUCCUGGUCCUGCAGCAGGGGCCAAGGGUGAGGCUGCUCGCCUAUUAAAAGGGAACAUGAGCUGGGUUUAGACCGUCGUGAGACAGGUCGGUCUCUGCCUGAUGGAAGCGUGGCUGUCUGAGGGGAAGUUGCUCUUAGUACGAGAGGAACAGAGCAGCGUGGCCACUGGUUUACCGGUUGUCUGAUAAGGCAGGCCGGGCAGCUAAGCCGUUUGGGUUAAGUGCUGAAAGCAUCUAAGCACGAAGCCCAUCCCGAGACAAGACAGCCUUUCGUAAGAUGAAGGUUCGCAGAAGAAGACUGCGUUGAUAGGAUGGAUGUGUAGAUCACAAGCUUCGGCGAGUGAUGAGCAUGCCAUUACUAAUAGACCAACACAUCAGC